rnacentral:rRNA from 1 species
GAUCAUGGCUCAGGAUGAACGCUGGCGGCGUGCCUAACACAUGCAAGUCGAACGGAAUUUACAUGAAGCCUAGCGAUUGUAAAUUUAGUGGCGGACGGGUGAGUAACGCGUGGGUAACCUGCCUUGUACUGGGGGACAACAGUUGGAAACGACUGCUAAUACCGCAUAAGCGCACAGCUUCGCAUGAAGCAGUGUGAAAAACUACCGGUGGUACAAGAUGGACCCGCGUCUGAUUAG